CUGGUUGAUCCUGCCAGUAGUCAUAUGCUUGUCUCAAAGAUUAAGCCAUGCAUGUCUCAGUACUAGCCAACCUAAGGCGAAACCGCGAAUGGCUCAUUAAAUCAGUCAUGAUUCAUUGGAUGUUGUAAAAUCCUUACUUGGAUAACUGUGGUAAUUCUAGAGCUAAUACGUGCAACUGAGCUCCGACCCCGCUCGUCAAGGGCGGGGGAAGGGCGCUUUUAUUAGAUCAAAAACCGGUCGGACUUCGGUUCGUUCCAUAAAAGGUUUCGUGAUGACUCUGAAUAACUUAGCCGAGCGCUGAGGUCUUAGUACCGGCGCCGUAUCCUUCAAGUGUCUGCCUUAUCAGCUCUCGAUUGUAGGUUAUGCGCCUACACUGGCUGUAACGGGUAACGGGGAAUCGGGGUUCGAUUCCGGAGAGGGAGCCUGAGAAACGGCUACCACAUCUAAGGAAGGCAGCAGGCACGCAAAUUACCCAAUCCCGGCUCGGGGAGGUAGUGACGAAAAAUAACGAUGCGGGACUCUUCCGAGGCCUCGCAAUCGGAAUGAGUCCAAUCUAAAUACUUGGUCGAGGACCUAUUGAAGGGCAAGUCUGGUGCCAGCAGCCGCGGUAAUUCCAGCUUCAAUAGCGUAUAUUAAAGUUGCUGCGGUUAAAAAGCUCGUAGUUGGAUUUCUGAUGCGGACCGGGAGCCCAUCCAAGGCGCGCCCCUCGUCGCGCACGAGCGUUUUCCCUGCGCUCUCUCCGUCCUCGAAACCGAGGCGCGGUUCGGUAGCUCGCCUCCGGGCCCGACUUCCAACCCCUCUCCACCCGGGUCGGUGUAUCGGCGGCUCCUUUCCUCCUUCGGGGGUGUAUCGGACCGUCGCAUAUCUCCGUCCCCCGCCUCUCUCGCCGGAUUUCGUCGUCGUCGGUUCGCCGUCGACUCGAUUUCCAUUCCAAAAGCGGGAGGGUGCGCGUUCGCGUGCCGGUCGUUCGCGACCGUCCGCGGAGGGUGGUCCGCGGGAGUCGUCGGUGUCUCGGGACGGGCGCUAACGCCGUCCGCGUUUUUCGGCGUAGGGGGAUUAAAAAGCGGAGAGGGUGCGCUAAAGGGUUCGCUCCGGGCGGGUAAGCGCGCCCGGUGGUUAACUGCCCGGCUCCGGAUUGAAAAAGCCGUCGGCUCUCACGGGGUGCUCUUCACCGAGUGUCCCGCGUGGCCGACAACUUCACUUUGAAAAAAUUAGAGUGCUCAGAGCAGGCAAAAUCUUAAAGCCUGAAUGGUAGUGCAUGGAAUGAUGGAACAGGACCUCGGKUCUGCCUUUUCUACCCGGUUUUCUGGACCGAGGUAAUGAUUAACGGGAACAGACGGGGGCAUUAGUAUUGCGACGCUAGAGGUGAAAUUCUUGGACCGUCGCAAGACUAACUACUGCGAAAGCAUUUGCCAAGAAUGUUUUCAUUAAUCAAGAACGAAAGUUAGAGGAUCGAAGGCGAUCAGAUACCGCCCUAGUUCUAACCAUAAACGAUGCUAACUGGCGAUCCGUCGGCGUCAUUCCCACGACUCGACGGGGAGCCCCCGGGAARCCAAAGUCUUUGAGUUCCGGGGGAAGUAUGGUUGCAAAGCUGAAACUUAAAGGAAUUGACGGAGGGGCACCACCAGUAGUGGAGCCUGCGGCUUAAUUUGACUCAACACGGGAAACCUCACCAGGCCCAGACACUGGAAGGAUUGACAGAUUGAGAGCUCUUUCUCGAUUCAGUGGGUGGUGGUGCAUGGCCGUUCUUAGUUGGUGGAGCGAUCUGUCUGGUUGAUUCCGAUAACGAACGAGACUCUACCCUGCUAACUAGUCGGCGAAUCGUCUCCCGAGACGGGUUCCUCCGCGGGCGAUUCGGGGUGGCUCUUUUCCCCGGCCGCCCUUCCGUUUCCGGGCGCGAGUUAGGGCUCGAGUCGUUUCGGCGGCGAGGGUUUCUUUCGCGUUAGCUCGGGGCGGUUUCAAGGCGGUUCGGGGAGUUCGGGGUUUACCGCCGUUCUCCGCGCGUUGAACCCAGCGAGGGGCGUUCGUCGCAACUUCUUCUUAGAGGGAUCGGCGGCGUCCAGCCGCAAGAGAUAGAGCAAUAACAGGUCUGUGAUGCCCUUAGAUGUUCUGGGCCGCACGCGCGCUACACUGAAGGGAUCAGCGUGCUUUCCCACUCCGAAAGGAGCGGGUAACCCGAUGAAACCCCUUCCCGAUUGGGAUUGGGGAUUGUAAGUGUUUCCCAUGAACGAGGAAUUUCCAGUAAGCGCGAGUCAUAAGCUCGCGUUGAUUAAGUCCCUGCCCCUUGUACACACCGCCCGUCGCUACUACCGAUUGAAUGAUUCAGUGAGGGCAUCGGACUGGCGCCCUCGGUAGCCUUCGGUUCGCAAAUCAAACCCCGCUUCGGCGGGGGCGGCCGGAGGCACCCCGGGCUGRCGGAAAGAUGUCCGAACUCGAUCAUUUAGAGGAAGUAAAAGUCGUAACAAGG
rnacentral:rRNA from 1 species